UGGAUGAACAUUUGUGGCAUUAAUAAUUUGUGCCAUAGUUUUCGAUCAUAAUGUGUAUGGGUGUGAUAUCAGACAUAUGCAUAAGGAGUGCCCUGCCUUUGGCACACACCCUUCAGUUCAGCACAGACCUUCCUUUCUGCCUGUGGACCUGCCUUGGAUGUGCAUCUUCUAAAAAUUGGCACAGACCUUCCUGGUCUUCAUUCCUAUUUCUGGAAAGUUUUUGUUGCCCGAACAGGACAAAACUAUUAACCAGGCAUGUAGGGGUAAGAGCACAUCUUUCUCCCAGGACAAAUCCAAGAAACCAAAUCAUUUUCUGCUCUUUUGCUCCUUUUUAUUUAAACAGACCAGACAGAAAUCCUCCGACAAGGCCCUCACCUUCAAUGCCAUAGGGAAAGAACCGGCCUGGUCCUCUUACCGGCAGACCCAGAAGUUGCCACUGGAAAAUCAAUAGUGUCUUUUACCCCUGGGACCAAUUGGGUCAGUGAAGAGGAGGUGUGGUCUCACCCCUUUACAGAUUCAUAGGACCCUCAUCGUUUGGUGUCAGCGGCGGCAGCAGAAACAGGAUUCGGUGGCAGCAGCAGCAGGAGAAGAUUCGGUGGCAGCAGUAGAAGAUUUUUGGGCGCCAGAGGUGGAAGGUGAUUCCGGGAUGACUGGGAGCAGGAUGCAGAGGCAUCGUUGGAAGGGCCCAUUCAGAAGAGGAAGGUGAGUUUUCUUUCACAGGAGAGAUCAGGAAGACGCCCAGUGUGUAGAAGGAUCGGUCGCAUAGUGAGAAGAGAAGGUUAAGGAUCGCGAGAUUGCGGAGGUGACGACAUUUGAGGAACAAAGAGGAGGAGGACAGUUGGAGACAGUGGAAGAAAGAGAGAAGGCAACAGCGGAUGGGUCAUGGAAUGCAAGGUGGAAGUCAGCAGGAACAGGCGUCUAAUUCAGCAGCAGAUCUUCCAGUGUGGGAGGAAGGUCGCAACUUGUCUACCUCGCCAGCAGUUCAUCUGGUGCAGGAGGUAGAACGGCGAUGGUUGGUGCAUUGGGUGAGUUGAGAGCGCAGUCUAAUGUAUUGGUUAAUCGGGAUUCAGAAUCUGACCUUCAAAUAGUGAGACAGAGGGAGGAAAAAUGUUGGCAUUAAUUAAAAAAUAUUUUAGGGAUGGUAAGGGAAAAGAGAAAAAGGAUAAGACAGGGGAUUUGGUAAAGGAAAGGGGUCAGUUGGUGCCAGUAGCAGAUACUUAUGCGUGCGCCUUGACAGAAACAGUAUUUGCCUAGGAAACUGAGGAGGGCAAUUGAAGCUGGGAAAUUUGUUGGGAUAUAUAUAUAUUUGACAUGGGAAACAGUACAGGCCAAAGAGGAUGGGGUUAAGAUUGAAGGGGAAGGAAGGAAGAACAAGUCGAUUUUUGAUUGGUUAAAAGGUUUUUAGGUUUUUGCUAGCAUUUAUCUUGAAAGAAAACCAGAGCAAUGUCUGAAUGUGAUUAAGUAUAUAGAUACUAUAGUAGACACAUACAAGGGCACUUCAUGGUCUGAUUAUGACAGGAAAUUUAGAAAAAAGAUGGUUAAUAGCAAGAUGUUGUCGUUUGGUCAAAAGGACAUAGAUUUAUGGACCAGAUGGGUAUCGAAGGAGCAAGGGGUUUUUAACAAUGUGAGUAGAGGGUCGAUGGCGUAUAAACCAAGGAACGUUUGUUUUGCUUACAAUGAGAAGAGAUGUAGCAGGGGGUAUUGUAAAUUUAGACAUAAAUGAUUGGCUUGUGGAUUAUCCCAUGUGGUAAGUGAAUGUAACAAAAAGAGAGAGGGGAAUAGGCAGCCCUUUUCGAGCGGCUCAACAGAAGAACAGAAAUGCCAAUACAGGUGGGCAAGCUAAGUGAGGCAUUGCAGGGUUACCCAGAUCAAGAUACGGCAGAAUUUUUAGCGAAGGGUUUUUUAGAAGGUUUUCAGAAUACCAGUUUUAGAGGUUCCACCCCCCAGUGAAGUUUACAAAAAUUUAAAAUGGGCUAGUCAGCAUGAAGAAGCAUUGAAACAGAAACUGGAGAAGGAAUUGAAGGCAGGGAGGAUGGCGGGACCAUUUGCGGAAGUUCCUAUAAAGGAUUUGGUGGUGUCUCCAUUAGGCCUAUUCUGUACUUGUGGUAAGAAAAAUUAUGCGUUUAAGGAUUUGCUAGAUUUUUUGAAGGAAAUGUACAAGGAAGGGAAGUCCAAGGUGAUGUUGGUUACUUCAUUAGCGGCAAUAUCCCAUUUUUCUUUAGCAGAAGGGAAGCCUGAUUUGAUGCGUAAUCCUAUUAUUAAAAAACUAUUAAAAGGUUGGAGUAGAUUGGAGGGCCCUAGGGUGGAUAAAAGGGCAUCCAUUGUUAAGACUAGGUUGCAACAGAUAUUGGUAUCCUUGGGUGGGGUUUGUUUUGACCAGUUUGAAUGUGUGUUGUUUAGAGCAGCUUUUGCAUUAUCAUUUGGAGGAGCAUUUCGUAUCAGUGAGUUAGUGCCACCUUCUAAAAAGGCACUAGGAAAGGGGUUAGGGUAUAAAGAUGUGUCCAUACAAGAAAAUAAAUUGUUGAUUUAUAUUCGUAGUUCUAAGACAGACCGGAUGGGGAAAGGAAAAUGGUUAAGAAUAUGGGAAACAGGGGAAGUGUCAUGCCCUGUUAGGUUAGUAAGGGAAUAUAUGGUAGUGCGCCUGGAGGGAGGUUCACUAUUGUUGUUACAUGAAGAUGGUUCCCCCCUUUCAGCUUUUCAGUUUAGGCAGGUACUGAAAAGGACGGUGAUCGAUAAUGGGUGGGAUCCUAAGAAAUGUGGGUCUCAUUCUUUCAGAAUAGGUGCAGCAACUGAAGCAGCAAUGGGAGGGGAAAGUAGUGAGAGAAUAAAGGCAUUGGGAAGAUGGAACGAUGCAAGGGAAGAGUUUUAACUAAUGUUUUUGUUUUUUGUCGUAGCAGGAGGUGCGACAACUUGUCACGUUUUGAUAUUAGCCCAUUCAUUUAUUUUCUGGGCAAUGAAGCAUGCAGGGGUUGCAGGACAGCAGAUGGGUUUGCCAGGGGAACACAUGAAGAUCACUUGGCUUGGUAAGAGAGGGAUGAGAUGGGAGCAGAUGAGAGGUAUGUUCUUUGGAGCAGCAAAAAGGAAUCCUAUACAUUUGUUAAUCAUACAUGCGGGGGGGAAUGACCUUAUGUCACACAGGACACCAGCUCUUAUUGAAAACAUGAAGGCCGACGAUAGAUAUUUUGAGCAAAGGGAGAAUCCGGUGUGAUAUGGUCAGAUUUGAUUCCAAGAAGCACUUGGCGAGGCCCCACUUCCCCAAAGGGCAUAGAGAAGGUCAGGAAGAAGGUUAAUAGGGCCAUGCAUAAAUUCAUGUGUUCCUCUGGUGGGGGGGGGUAAUAAGACAUGAAAAUAUAAAAUGUAGUCAAACACGGUUAUACUGAGGAUGGAGUUAAUUUAUCGGAAGAAGGUUUUUGGGAACAUCAAGGUGUUCAUUGAGGAGUGGUGGAGGUCACGGGAACUGUAGUGGGGCCAUUGGAAAGGUUAGGUGUCACCCCUCCCCUUUUUUCCAUUGGUUGGCAUCAGUGCGGCUCUAGGUCUAUGAAUUGGUUACAGUGCAGGCCUAGGUUGAGUGAGUCACUAGUGUGCGUCAGACUGGGACUGCACGGUCUUCUCUGGCGCAUGCAAGUGACUGGGUUAGCGCCAUUAUGCACAACGAGGGGGAAGGGCAGGGGGAAGUGCAAAAAGACGGUCACUGAGUGCGCCCGGCCCCGUGAUCCCUGCUUCAUGUUUUGGAAUUUGUUUGGGCACGUUUUUUGAGUUGCAGAUUUUUUUGGAGAAUGAAAGCCACAGCUGGGGUCCGGGUGUAACUAAACUUUGAUUAUUUAACUGUUAAAUAAAGCCUGUGAUCUCCACAGAUUUUUGCCAUAAUAUGUCUCUGUGUUCUUUAAUUGAAUGGUAAAGGCGUAACAUGAUGCAAAAGGGGGUUUCUUGUCCUAGGGGGAAUGAAGGCAGUUAAGGACAAAAUGGGGUUAGGCAAGGUCCCCUUCCCUCUAAGGUGCAGCAUUUGUUAGCCUCCCCCACCCCUUCCCAGCUAGCCCCAAGGUAGGCACAAAGGAAGGGGGCUAGCAACGGCGGGAAAAAAGUGGGCGGGUUGGGGGAGGAAGAAGAGGAGGAGCGUGGAGCAGGACAGGGUUCUUAAGGUGAUGCUGGGUGUGAAGAGCUAUUACUUACUUGUUUUUUGUUUCCCACCCUCCCUCCCUAGGUAAGACGGAUCUGGUUGAGAACAAGGUGCUCCAGGGUUGUUACAACCGAUCGCCUAGUUGGGGUCAGGAAGGAAUUUUUCUAAUAGAACUAAUUGGUUGAAAAGUGCUAGAGUUUUCGCCUUCCUCUCGAGUACCAUUAUCUGUGGUGGUCAAGGCAUCAGUGCGGUUCUAGGUCUACGAAUUGGUUACAGUGCGGGCCUACCUUGAGUGAGUCACGAGUGUGCACCAGACUGAGACUGCACGGUCUUCUCUGGCGCAUGCAAGUGACUGGGUUAGCGCCAUUAUGCACAAUGAAGGAGCAGGGGGAUGGGCAAAAAGGCAGUCACUGAGUGCGCCGGGCCCCGUGAUCCCUGCUUCAUGUUUUGGAAAUAUUUUGGGCAUUGAGCCCCCGUUUUUUGAGUUGCAGAUUAUUUGCUCAGGAGCCCACGUUUGGAGAAUGAGAGCCGCAGCUGGGGUCAGGGUGUACCUAAACUUUGAUUAUUUAACUGUUAAAUAAAGCCUGUGACCUCCACAGAUUUUUGCCAUAAUAUGUCUCUGUGUUUUUUAAUUGAAUGGUUAAGGCACAACUUGAGGGGAUAGGGG